GAUGAACGCUGGCGGCGUGCUUAACACAUGCAAGUCGAACGGUGAAGUGAAGAGCUUGCUCUUUGCGGAUCAGUGGCGAACGGGUGAGUAACACGUGAGUAACCUGCCCUUGACUCUGGGAUAAGCACUGGAAACGGUGUCUAAUACCGGAUACGACCUCUGAAGGCAUCUUCUAGAGGUGGAAAGAAUUUCGGUCAAGGAUGGACUCGCGGCCUAUCAGCAGUUGGUGAGGUAAUGGCCCACCAAGGCGACGACGGGUAGCCGGCCUGAGAGGGUGACCGGCCACACUGGGACUGAGACACGGCCCAGACUCCUACGGGAGGCAGCAGUGGGGAAUAUUGCACAAUGGGCGCAAGCCUGAUGCAGCAACGCCGCGUGAGGGACGACGGCCCUCGGGUUGUAAACCUCUUUUAGUAGGGAAGAAGCGAAAGUGACGGUACCUGCAGAAAAG
rnacentral:rRNA from 1 species